rnacentral:rRNA from 1 species
GAGGAAUAUUGGACAAUGGGCGCAAGCCUGAUCCAGCCAUGCCGCGUGCAGGAUGACGGUCCUAUGGAUUGUAAACUGCUUUUGUACGAGAAGAAACACUCCUUCGUGAAGGAGCUUGACGGUACCGUAAGAAUAAGGAUCGGCUAACUCCGUGCCAGCAGCCGCGGUAAUACGGAGGAUCCAAGCGUUAUCCGGAAUCAUUGGGUUUAAAGGGUCCGUAGGCGGUUUAGUAAGUCAGUGGUGAAAGCCCAUCGCUCAACGAUGGAACGGCCAUUGAUACUGCUAGACUUGAAUUAUUAGGAAGUAACUAGAAUAUGUAGUGUAGCGGUGAAAUGCUUAGAUAUUACAUGGAAUACCAAUUGCGAAGGCAGGUUACUACUAAUGGAUUGACGCUGAUGGACGAAAGCGUGGGGAGCGAACA